CAAAAGUUCCUGAAAUCCCCAACAAAUCCACAAUUAAAUAUUCUGCCCAUGCGGGGAAGGAUGAGAAGCUUCGACUAAGGUUCGACUCGAGCGCCAGCGAGAGAGCGUUGCCGCAGGCAACGACCCGUAGGGCGAAGCGCGCAGCGCUGAGUAAUCCUUCCCCCACCACCA
rnacentral:sRNA from 1 species